rnacentral:rRNA from 1 species
GAUGAACGCUGGCGGCGUGCCUAAUACAUGCAAGUCGAGCGAACAGAUGAGAAGCUUGCUUCUCUGAUGUUAGCGGCGGACGGGUGAGUAACACGUGGGUAACCUACCUAUAAGACUGGGAUAACUCCGGGAAACCGGGGCUAAUACCGGAUAAUAUUUUGAACCGCAUGGUUCAAUAGUGAAAGACGGUUUCGGCUGUCACUUAUAGAUGGACCCGCGCCGUAUUAGCUAGUUGGUAAGGUAACGGCUUACCCAGGCGACGAUACGUAGCCGACCUUAGAGGGUGAGCGGCCAGACUGGAACUGAGACACGUGCCAGACUCCUACGGGAGGCAGCAGUAGGGAAUCUUCCGCAAUGGGCGAAAGCCUGACGGAGCAACGCCGCGUGAGUGAUGAAGGUCUUCGGAUCGUAAAACUCUGUUGUUAGGGAAGAACAAAUUUGUUAGUAACUGAACAAGUCUUGACGGUACCUAACCAGAAAGCCACGGCUAACUACGUGCCAGCCGCCGCGGUAA